rnacentral:lncRNA from 1 species
CCCGAGCCACUCACUUCCACUCGCAAAAAAAGGUUUGGGAGGCCUUGGGCACCUCCCUAAAAUCACUCUAGGAAGGGGGGAGGUUUUGAACUUAAAUCCUUUGGUGGGGAGCUUGUUUAAGGUAAGAAAAUGCUAUUCCCACCCUCUAAUCCAAGUUUUAUUGGUUGGUUAGUGAGCAAUUUACAUUUUGGUUUUCUCUCUCUUCCAUGGAGCUUGAGCUUUGUGUUGACCAAAUUAGAGCUUAUCUACUAUGCUAUUAGUGUAGAAUAGGUAGAGACACCACCUUGCACCAUCAAUUAUGUGAUAU